GGUUAAGCGACUAAGCGUACACGGUGGAUGCCCUGGCAGUCAGAGGCGAUGAAGGACGUGCUAAUCUGCGAUAAGCGUCGGUAAGGUGAUAUGAACCGUUAUAACCGGCGAUUUCCGAAUGGGGAAACCCAGUGUGAUUCGUCACACUAUCAUUAACUGAAUCCAUAGGUUAAUGAGGCGAACCGGGGGAACUGAAACAUCUAAGUACCCCGAGGAAAAGAAAUCAACCGAGAUUCCCCCAGUAGCGGCGAGCGAACGGGGAGGAGCCCAGAGCCUGAAUCAGUGUGUGUGUUAGUGGAAGCGUCUGGAAAGGCGCGCGAUACAGGGUGACAGCCCCGUACACAAAAAUGCACAUGCUGUGAGCUCGAUGAGUAGGGCGGGACACGUGGUAUCCUGUCUGAAUAUGGGGGGACCAUCCUCCAAGGCUAAAUACUCCUGACUGACCGAUAGUGAACCAGUACCGUGAGGGAAAGGCGAAAAGAACCCCGGCGAGGGGAGUGAAAAAGAACCUGAAACCGUGUACGUACAAGCAGUGGGAGCACGCUUCGGCGUGUGACUGCGUACCUUUUGUAUAAUGGGUCAGCGACUUAUAUUCUGUAGCAAGGUUAACCGAAUAGGGGAGCCGAAGGGAAACCGAGUCUUAACUGGGCGUUAAGUUGCAGGGUAUAGACCCGAAACCCGGUGAUCUAGCCAUGGGCAGGUUGAAGGUUGGGUAACACUAACUGGAGGACCGAACCGACUAAUGUUGAAAAAUUAGCGGAUGACUUGUGGCUGGGGGUGAAAGGCCAAUCAAACCGGGAGAUAGCUGGUUCUCCCCGAAAGCUAUUUAGGUAGCGCCUCGUGAAUUCAUCUCCGGGGGUAGAGCACUGUUUCGGCAAGGGGGUCAUCCCGACUUACCAACCCGAUGCAAACUGCGAAUACCGGAGAAUGUUAUCACGGGAGACACACGGCGGGUGCUAACGUCCGUCGUGAAGAGGGAAACAACCCAGACCGCCAGCUAAGGUCCCAAAGUCAUGGUUAAGUGGGAAACGAUGUGGGAAGGCCCAGACAGCCAGGAUGUUGGCUUAGAAGCAGCCAUCAUUUAAAGAAAGCGUAAUAGCUCACUGGUCGAGUCGGCCUGCGCGGAAGAUGUAACGGGGCUAAACCAUGCACCGAAGCUGCGGCAGCGACACUAUGUGUUGUUGGGUAGGGGAGCGUUCUGUAAGCCUGUGAAGGUGUACUGUGAGGUAUGCUGGAGGUAUCAGAAGUGCGAAUGCUGACAUAAGUAACGAUAAAGCGGGUGAAAAGCCCGCUCGCCGGAAGACCAAGGGUUCCUGUCCAACGUUAAUCGGGGCAGGGUGAGUCGACCCCUAAGGCGAGGCCGAAAGGCGUAGUCGAUGGGAAACAGGUUAAUAUUCCUGUACUUGGUGUUACUGCGAAGGGGGGACGGAGAAGGCUAUGUUGGCCGGGCGACGGUUGUCCCGGUUUAAGCGUGUAGGCUGGUUUUCCAGGCAAAUCCGGAAAAUCAAGGCUGAGGCGUGAUGACGAGGCACUACGGUGCUGAAGCAACAAAUGCCCUGCUUCCAGGAAAAGCCUCUAAGCAUCAGGUAACAUCAAAUCGUACCCCAAACCGACACAGGUGGUCAGGUAGAGAAUACCAAGGCGCUUGAGAGAACUCGGGUGAAGGAACUAGGCAAAAUGGUGCCGUAACUUCGGGAGAAGGCACGCUGAUAUGUAGGUGAAGCGACUUGCUCGUGGAGCUGAAAUCAGUCGAAGAUACCAGCUGGCUGCAACUGUUUAUUAAAAACACAGCACUGUGCAAACACGAAAGUGGACGUAUACGGUGUGACGCCUGCCCGGUGCCGGAAGGUUAAUUGAUGGGGUUAGCGCAAGCGAAGCUCUUGAUCGAAGCCCCGGUAAACGGCGGCCGUAACUAUAACGGUCCUAAGGUAGCGAAAUUCCUUGUCGGGUAAGUUCCGACCUGCACGAAUGGCGUAAUGAUGGCCAGGCUGUCUCCACCCGAGACUCAGUGAAAUUGAACUCGCUGUGAAGAUGCAGUGUACCCGCGGCAAGACGGAAAGACCCCGUGAACCUUUACUAUAGCUUGACACUGAACAUUGAGCCUUGAUGUGUAGGAUAGGUGGGAGGCUUUGAAGUGUGGACGCCAGUCUGCAUGGAGCCGACCUUGAAAUACCACCCUUUAAUGUUUGAUGUUCUAACGUUGGCCCGUGAUCCGGGUUGCGGACAGUGUCUGGUGGGUAGUUUGACUGGGGCGGUCUCCUCCUAAAGAGUAACGGAGGAGCACGAAGGUUGGCUAAUCCUGGUCGGACAUCAGGAGGUUAGUGCAAUGGCAUAAGCCAGCUUGACUGCGAGCGUGACGGCGCGAGCAGGUGCGAAAGCAGGUCAUAGUGAUCCGGUGGUUCUGAAUGGAAGGGCCAUCGCUCAACGGAUAAAAGGUACUCCGGGGAUAACAGGCUGAUACCGCCCAAGAGUUCAUAUCGACGGCGGUGUUUGGCACCUCGAUGUCGGCUCAUCACAUCCUGGGGCUGAAGUAGGUCCCAAGGGUAUGGCUGUUCGCCAUUUAAAGUGGUACGCGAGCUGGGUUUAGAACGUCGUGAGACAGUUCGGUCCCUAUCUGCCGUGGGCGCUGGAGAACUGAGGGGGGCUGCUCCUAGUACGAGAGGACCGGAGUGGACGCAUCACUGGUGUUCGGGUUGUCAUGCCAAUGGCACUGCCCGGUAGCUAAAUGCGGAAGAGAUAAGUGCUGAAAGCAUCUAAGCACGAAACUUGCCCCGAGAUGAGUUCUCCCUGACUCC
rnacentral:rRNA from 1 species